AGAUUGAACGCUGGCGGCAGGCCUAACACAUGCAAGUCGAGCGGCAGCACGGGUACUUGUACCUGGUGGCGAGCGGCGGACGGGUGAGUAAUGCCUAGGAAUCGUGCCUGAUAGGUGGGGGAUAACGUUCGGAAACGGACGCUAAUACCGCAUACGUCCUACGGGAGAAAGUGGGGGAUCUUCGGACCUCACGCUAUCAGAUGAGCCUAGGUCGGAUUAGCUAGUUGGUAGGUAAAGGCCUACCAAGGCUACGAUCCGUAACUGGUCUGAGAGGAUGAUCAGUCACACUGGAACUGAGACACGGUCCAGACUCCGUACGGGAGCAGCAGUGGGAAUUAGUGGACAAGU
rnacentral:rRNA from 1 species